rnacentral:rRNA from 1 species
UACGUAGGAUCCAAGCGUUGUCCGGAUUUACUGGGUGUAAGGGGUGCGCAGGCGGAAUGGUAAGUCAGAGGUGAAAUCUCAUCGCUCAACGGUGAAACUGCCUUUGAUACUAUCAUUCUUGAGUCCGAUAGAGAUCUGUGGAAUUCCGAGUGUAGCAGUGAAAUGUGUAGAUAUUCGGAAGAACACCAGUGGCGAAGGCAGCAGAUUGGGUCGGUACUGACGCUCAGGCACGAAAGCAUGGGGAUCAAACAGG